UACCAGCACCCCGAGUGGUCGGGACGUUUAUUGGGCCUAAAGCACUCCGUAGCCGGUUCUACAAGUCUUCCGUUAAAUCCACCUGCUUAACAGAUGGGCUGCGGAAGAUACUAUAGAGCUAGGAGGCGGGAGAGGCAAGCGGUACUCGAUGGGUAGGGGUAAAAUCCGUUGAUCCAUUGAAGACCACCAGUGGCGAAGGCGGCUUGCCAGAACGCGCUCGACGGUGAGGGAUGAAAGCUGGGGGAGCAAACCGGG
rnacentral:rRNA from 1 species